rnacentral:tRNA from 1 species
GGGGUGGUAGUGCAGUCUGGCCUAACACAUCUGUCUGUCACACAGAAGAACGCGGGUUCGAAUCCCGUCCACCCCGCCA